UGCUCCUUCUUGGUCUCUUGCUGGCUCUUCUUUCUUCCUCCUCCGCCUAACUUUGAAAUGUUGGAGGUUCUCAUAGACCAGUUCUCUCUCUGAAAUCUGCUUAGAUAAUCUCAUCUAGCCCCAAGGUUUUAAGAGCACAGAUGAAUAUCUGAAAGAAUGUUGUUCUUCAUUUGUUCAUUUGUUCCUUAUUGGAAUUUGUUCCUCCUUACUGGAAUUUUACUUCACAAAGAGAUGGUGGUUCUCUGUGGUGUUCAACCUGUGGAACCUCAGCCUCCAGAAACCUGCCUCGCAGCCACAGGCUCAAUAAAUACACUGACUGAAUCAGUGUUUGAAUGUCUCUGGGCUCAUUUCUGCGAAUAAAGUCAUAAACAACCAA